rnacentral:lncRNA from 1 species
UGUUCAUGAAGCGCGUCGAGGCUAACGGCGAGUGGACCCUCUUCUGCCCCAACGAAGCCCCGGGUCUCGCGGAUUGCUGGGGCGAGGAGUUCGAGGCUCUGUACGAAAAGUACGAGGCGGAGGGCAAGGGUAAGAAGACGGUCAAGGCCCAGCAGCUCUGGUUCGCCAUCCUCGAGUCCCAGGUUGAGACUGGUAACCCGUACAUGCUCUUCAAGGAUGCGUGCAACCGCAAGUCCAACCAGCAGAACCUCGGCACCAUCCGAUCCUCCAACCUCUGCACCGAGAUUGUCGAGUACACCUCGCCGGAGGAGACCGCGGUGUGCAACCUCGCGUCCAUCGCGCUGCCCCGCUUCGUCAUCGAGAACAACCCCCAGUCCCCCACGGGCCGCACCGAGGCGAAGAAGCUCCGAGGGUCCAUCGGCGCCGCCAACAGGUACUUCGACCACGACAAGCUCGCCGAGAUCACCCGCAAGGUGACCCGCAACCUCAACCGCAUCAUCGACGUCAACUACUACCCCGUCGAGACCGCCAGGCGCAGCAACAUGAAGCACAGGCCCAUUGGCCUCGGCGUUCAGGGCCUCGCCGACGUCUUCAUCCUCCUCGGCAUGCCCUUCGACUCUCCCGAAGCGAAGAAGCUCAACGCCGAGAUCUUCGAGACCAUCUACUUCGCCGCGCUCACCGAGUCCAACGACAUCGCCAAGCGCGACGGAACCUACGAGUCCUACCCAGGCUCCCCCGUCUCCAACGGCGUCCUCCAACCCGACAUGUGGGGCCUGACCGAGAUGCCCGGCGGCGACAGGCACGACUGGACCGGGCUUCGGACGAAGAUCUCCGAGCACGGCGUCCGCAACUCCCUGCUGGUGGCGCCCAUGCCCACCGCGUCCACGUCCCAGAUUUUGGGCAACAACGAGUGCUUCGAGCCGUACACCUCCAACAUCUACGCCCGCCGCGUGCUCUCCGGCGAGUUCACCGUCGUGAACCAGCACCUCCUCUCCGACCUCACCGAGAUGGGCCUCUGGGACCCCAGCCUCAAGAACGAGCUCAUCGCCAACAACGGCUCCGUCCAGUCGCUGGACAUCCCCG